rnacentral:rRNA from 1 species
AGAGAUGUGUGAUGACGCAUAUCAAUAAGCGGAGGAAAAGAAACUAACAAGGAUUCCCUUAGUAACGGCGAGUGAAGCGGGAAGAGCUCAAAUUUGAAAUCUCCAAGGUUCUACCUUGACGAAUUGUAGUUUAUAGAAGUGUUUUCUGUUAGUAGGAGUGGCAAAAGUUCUUUGGAAUAGGACAUCAUAGAGGGUGAGAAUCCCGUAUUUGGUCAUUCCUCCUAGCUUUGUGAUACACUUUCAACGAGUCGGAUUGUUUGGGAAUGCAGUCCAAAAUGGGUGGUAAAUUUCAUCUAAAGCUAAAUAUUGGCGAGAGACCGAUAGCGAACAAGUACCGUGAGGGAAAGAUGAAAAGAACUUUGAAAAGAGAGUUAAACAGUACGUGAAAUUGUCAAAAGGGAAGCGUUUGACACCAGUGUUGUUUUUCCGAAAAUCAAUUACGAAUGUUUUAUUUUUGAGAAGUUAUGACUUCAUCGGCUUGCUUCUCUCUUUGCGAAACUUUCUUAAUGCACUUUUCGGUUAACAAGUCAACAUCAAUUUCUUUUGUUGUAAAAGGGUAUGAGGAAGGUGGCUUUCUUUUCGGAGAAAGUGUUUAUAGCCUUGUACCUCUGCAAUCGGAGAGAUUGAGGUCUGCAGCGUAGAUCCUUCGGGGUUAGAUACAUUCGUGCUAAGUUAUAGCUUUUCAUAGACAACUUGUUGACUAUGUUAAGUCUUGUAGCUUACUCGCUUAUGCUAUUUUACCUACGCUUAGGAUGUUGAAGAUGUAGCACAUCAU